UUCCGGUUGAUCCUGCCGGAGGCCAUUGCUAUCGGAGUCCGAUUUAGCCAUGCUAGUCGAGCGAGGUUAGCCCUCGCGGCGAACAGCUCAGUAACACGUGGCCAAGCUACCCUGCAGAGGGGGACAGCGUCGGGAAACUGACGGGAAUCCCCCAUACCGGUCUCACGCUGGAAUGCCGAGACCGACAAACGCUCCGGCGCUGCAGGAUGCGGCUGCGGCCGAUUAGGUAGUCGGUGGGGUAACGGCCCACCGAGCCGAUAAUUGGUACGGGGUGUGAGAGCACGAGCCCGGAGACGGAAUCUGAGACAAGAUUCCGGGCCCUACGGGGCGCAGCAGGCGCGAAACCUUUACACUGCACGAACGUGCGAUAAGGGGACUCCGAGUGCGAGGGCAUACAGUCCUCGCUAUUGUGUACCGUAGGGUGGUACACGACCAAGAGCUGGGCAAGACCGGUGCCAGCCGCCGCGGUAAUACCGGCAGCUCGAGUGAUGGCCGAUUUUAUUGGGCCUAAAGCGUCCGUAGCUGGCCCUGCAAGUCCGUCGGGAAAUCCACUCGCCUAACGAGUGGGCGUCCGGCGGAAACUACAGGGCUUGGGACCGGAAGACUUGAGGGGUACGUCUGGGGUAGGAGUGAAAGCCUGUAAUCCUGGACGGACCGCCUAUAGCGAAAGCACCUCAAGACGACGGAUCCCACAGUGAGGGACNAAAGCUAGGGUCUCGAACCGGAUUAAAUACCCG
rnacentral:rRNA from 1 species